UACGUAGGGUGCAAGCGUUAAUCGGAAUUACUGGGCGUAAAGCGUGCGCAGGCGGUUCCGCAAGUCAGAUGUGAAAUCCCCGGGCUUAACCUGGGAACUGCAUUUGAAACUAUGGAGCUAGAGUGUGUCAGAGGGGGGUAGAAUUCCACGUGUAGCAGUGAAAUGCGUAGAGAUGUGGAGGAACACCGAUGGCGAAGGCAGCCCCCUGGGCUAACACUGACGCUCAUGCACGAAAGCGUGGGGAGCAAACAGG
rnacentral:rRNA from 1 species